rnacentral:rRNA from 1 species
AGUCGAGCGCGAAAGUUUCUUCGGAAUACGAGUAGAGCGGCGCAAGGGUGAGUAACGCGUGAGCGAUCUGCCCCCGACUGCGGGAUAGCCCCGGGAAACCGGGAUUAAUACCGCAUGGUGAUGAUCAUUCGAUUGAUCAUCUAAAGGUUGACUCCGGUCGGGGAUGAGCUCGCGUCCCAUUAGCUUGUUGGUAGGGUAACGGCCUACCAAGGCCGAGACGGGUAGCUGGUCUGAGAGGACGGUCAGCCACACUGGGACUGAGACACUGCCCAGACUCCUACGGGAGGCUGCAGUCGAGAAUCUUCCGCAAUGGGCGCAAGCCUGACGGAGCGAUGCCGCGUGAGGGAUGACGGCCUUCGGGUUGUAAACCUCUGUCAGGGGGGACGAAAACAAUGACGGUACCCCCAGAGGAAGCCACGGCUAACUACGUGCCAGCAGCCGCGGUAAUACGUAGGUGGCGAGCGUUAUUCGGAAUUACUGGGCGUAAAGGGUCCGCAGGGGGUCUGUCAAGCCCGGCGUGAAAGCCCGAGGCUCAACUUCGGGUCGGCGUUGGAUACUGACGGACUUGAGUGCACGAUGGGAGAGCAGAAUUCCUGGUGUAGCGGUGGAAUGCGUAGAUAUCAGGAAGAAUACCGGCGGCGAAGGCGGCUCUCUGGCGUGCUACUGACCCUCAGGGACGAAAGUGUGGGUAGCGAACAGGAUUAGAUACCCUGGUAGUCCACACCGUAAACGUUGUGUACUAGAUGCGGGCGGCGCUCCGGUGUUGUCCGUGUCCAAGUUAACGCGAUAAGUACACCGCCUGGGGACUACGGCCGCAAGGCUAAAACUCAAAGGAAUUGACGGGGGGCCCGCACAAGCGGUGGAGCAUGUGGCUUAAUUCGAGGCAACGCGAAGAACCUUACCCGGGUUUGACAUAUAUCUGCCGUUCCGCGAAAUCGGAAUUUCUCUUCGGAGACGGAUAUACAGGUGCUGCAUGGCUGUCGUCAGCUCGUGCCGUGAGGUGUUCGGUUAAGUCCGGCAACGAGCGCAACCCAUAUUGUCAGUUGCUACCAGGUUAUGCUGGGCACUCUGGCAAGACUGCCCGUGUCAAGCGGGAGGAAGGCGUGGACGACGUCAAGUCAGUAUGGCCCUUACACCCGGGGCUGCACACGUGCUACAAUGGGCGGUACAGAGGGCUGCCAGNCCGCGAGGCCGCGCGAAUCCCUAAAACCGUCCCCAGUUCGGAUCGGAGUCUGCAAUUCGACUCCGUGAAGUCGGAAUCGCUAGUAAAGGCGUAUCAGCAAUGACGCCUUGAAUACGUUCCCGGGCCUUGUACACACCGCCCGUCACAUCAUGGAAGCCGGCUGCACCCGAAG